rnacentral:misc_RNA from 1 species
UUGCGUGGAAGAUAGACAAGUCCACCAACUGAUCGAGUAAAUCUUUUACCUGAAAAUUAGGGCCACCAAAGUUGUAACCGUUGAAGUUUGCUGCUGCCACAGAUAGCACACGAGUGUCUGGCCUUUCAGCACAAGUAAAGCCAUCAAAUCUACAGACAUUUCUGUCUGCCCUGUUCCAUGAUCUUGUUACGCCGUUGGGGUCGCACGUAAUUGCUUUACUGAAAUUCUGAAUUGUAUCAUAAUCCCUUAAGAUAUUUGGCGGCAAACAAGAAGGAGGAGGAGGAGGAGGUUGGCAAUCCUCAUUUUCAGCUGGAGGAGCGGGACCACCGCCAAUGGUUAUCUCCAGUGCUUCCCUUUGUG